CCUACGGGGGGCAGCAGUGAGGAAUAUUGGUUAAUGGGCGUAAGCCUGAACCAGCCAAGUCGCGUGAGGGAUGAAGGUUCUAUGGAUCGUAAACCUCUUUUAUAAGGGAAUAAAGUGUGGGACGUGUCCUAUUUUGUAUGUACCUUAUGAAUAAGGAUCGGCUAACUCCGUGCCAGCAGCCGCGGUAAGACGGAGGAUCCGAGCGUUAUCCGGAUUUAUUGGGUUUAAAGGGUGUGUAGGCGGCCUUUUAAGUCAGCGGUGAAAGUCUGUGGCUCAACCCUAGAAUUGCCGUUGAAACUGGGGGGCGUGAGUAUGUUUGAGGUAGGCGGAAUGCGGGGUGUAGCGGUGAAAUGCGUAGAUAUCACGAAGAACCCCGAUUGCGAAGGCAGCCUGCCAAGCCAUGACUGACGCUGAGGCACGAAAGCGUGGGGAUCAAACAGGAUUAGAUACCCUAGUAGUC
rnacentral:rRNA from 1 species